ACCGCUCCUUCCGGUGGUGAAAAUUUGAGAAAUUUGAAAAUUAUGAGACCAAUAUUGGUAAUUCCCUAAGAGAGUCUACCAAUCGUGCAGGCCAGGCCUCAGCCAUCUGCCUACCCAGUUGGCUUAGUUUCUCUACCAACUGUUCCUUAGCCCACCCAGACUCUCCCAGGGAAGUUCAAUUAAGCCGUGCCUUGAUGGGAUUUGUUUUUCCAGGUCAAGUUACUAGGCCUAGGUUUCUCUGUGUCCCCUGGGGUUAAUUCUGAAUUAAAUCCUCAUUAACUCUUUCUAUAGAGUAACCUCAGUGCAUCCCCUUCUCUUCCAUCCUCCCCUAACCUCCAUGUCAACACCAAUUUCAGUUCCUAAGACUCGGGAGAAAUAUAGGGAGCGCAGACCACAAAACUUGUGGCCUCUGGGACGAGUCUGAACCUACUGGGCUGAAAGCAAAGGGGUAAGAUGGGGAAGGCAGCUACCAGGGACUUCUGGGGGUCUUUAAAAAUGUCUCACAGCAAUGCUCCUUGCCUCUGCCAUUCAAGGACAGGAAAGACAUUCUGGCCUGGCUUCCCUUAGGGGAGCUGAUGCGGAGUAGAGUCACUUGUGCUGUAAGUAGGAGGAACCUGUUGUCUCGGUUUUGUUGGCUUUGGGGUUCUAUCUCCUCCUUCUGUAUGGUUCCCUUUCAGGUAGCCUGGGCUGCGGGAGACCUGGCUAUAACACAAACCCUGGUCCUAACUUGAACUGUACUGUGGAAUAUGCUCUUCUCUCCUGCUUGCUGCUUUUCACUCCUUUUCAACGUGAAUCUAUCAGCAUCUUGCUCUUGAGACAGAGUGAAAUUUGGAAUAAUGUUUAUAGAAUGACCAGUUGUUCUCUUGUUCUUACAUUUUAAGUAGCAAACAACAGCUUGCGGCAAGCUUCCUUGGUUAGAUGGCCUUUACUCUUUUGUGGGAUGCGUAGGAAUUCAGUUGGCAACUUUGCUUCCAGAUGUGGAAAGAAGUUCUUCCUCGUUUCUUGGAAAGUUAAACGGGUCUAUUUGAUUCACAGAUGGAGGUCAGAGCUGUUAAGAGAUUAACACUGAGGAUGUAAGCAACAUUUUGCUGACUAGCCAAGUAUCUCCCCUGCAACCCCCAGUUCUCUUUACCCUGCUUUGCCAUUCCCUAGCAGUAAAACCAUAAAAAGCAUAGUAUUCUCAGAAGAACUCCUUGGUGUCAACUUUGACCCAGAGUCACACUGGAAUGCUGCUUUAUAUUUUCUUCAGAGUUGCUUGUAGGAUCUGUGUUCAACCCAUUCAUACAGAUCAAAAUUUAGCACUUAGGAAUCCAUCUGUCUGAUUAAAUUAGUUCACUUUGUACUCAUUACAGUAAAAGCCAAUCACCCAAAUGUCAUUUAUUGCAACCUGCCUUUGCCUUUAUAUGUGUUGAAUAUUUUUAGACUUGAUACCCAGUUCGACUAAAUGUCCAUUAGAUGGAAGCUUGAGUGAUGCCUGCAACUGUGGCUGAGUCUGCUGUGUCUCAGUGACGUUGGAUAUUUGUUCCACUGUUUGCUUUGGAGAGGCGUGGGUGGCUGAAUGGAGGACACAUUAAUGUCACGCUUGGUUUUCUUUGUUUGAGGGAGAUCUUAUGGACCAAGAGCAUCUCAGCCCCAGCAUCCAGUGCUCUGGUGGCGCUCAUGCUGUCCCCAGAGGUCUCGUGUGUAUUCUGAAGGUUUGCUCAGCCGACUCUCUUCGGUUCUGACUUGAUUCUUUCCAGCAGGAAAUUGCAUCUGCCAUCCAAGCCUCCUCCCUCCUUCUGCUUUAAAGUUGUGGAAGCUGCUGAGAAGAUCACUGACUUCGGCCACACUUAGGGAGUUCACAACACCCUCCAAGUGAAAGGAAUUGAGAGAGGCUGUUCCACAGCUCUGUCGAUAGGGUACUUGCCUAACCUGUGUGAAACCCUGGGUUUGAUUCCCCAGCAUCACAUAAAACUGGACAUGGCACUAGACAUGGUGGCCAACCCCUUCAAUCUCUAUGAGUUCAAGGCCAGCUUGGUCUACAUAGUGAGUUCCAGGUCAGCCAAGGCCACAUCGUGAGCCCCUGUCUCAAAAAAAGAAAAGAAACCAACCGGAUAUGAGGUGUAUGCUUGUGAUUCCCAACACUUGGAAGGUAGAGGCAGGAGAGCCAGAAGUUCAGUCAUCCUUUGCUAUGAGACUACAUCUCAAACAAAUGAACAAGCAAAUAGAUGGAAUUCAGAAAAUCAGAAGAGAGUCUGACCACGAGGGAACAGAAAUAGAAACAUGGCUUCUAAAGGUGAUAGGUGGGCAGGCUGAAGGGAAUGGAGUAUGGGGUGUUAGAGUGGUCAUUUCCUCAGCUCCUACCAGCAAUGGCCUGCCUUCCCGAGUGCUGGGAUUAAAGGCGUGUGCCAUCAUUCUGUUUCUUGAGAAAGGCCACAGUUUCAAACCUUCUCUGCAGUUUGAACUCAAGAGUCUUGAAGCCAAGCGUGAGCCUCAGCUGAAUCCUAAAACCCCAAACUACCUGAGGACACAGGAGAAAAAAAUAACCUCAGACUCAUUUUCUCCUGUAUGCUCACUCAAUAAUCAACAGAAGAACUAAGUGACAGAUAUCAGUGAGUGGCCCUCCAUGUACCAAGCAAGCUAACAAUUCUGAAGCAGACUCCAACCGGGUGUCUUUUAACUCAGUUGUGAUACUCUUAAAGGCAGUGCCAGAUCCCACAGUUAAGGGCAUGUCCAGAUGGCAGUCCUGAGCCUCAGGUUCCUUUGUCCAGGGUUUAACCACCUAUCGAAGGGUUUUCCCAAACCCCUCCUCAGAACUCAGGAGUAUCAUUAAGGUACUGCGGUUUACCAUAAAGGAUGUCACACAGGAUGCUGAUGGACAGCAGAUGAAGAGGUUCGUGGGGGAAAACUUAGGGGAAAGACACACAGCUACCAACCCUCUCCAGGUGUACCAGCUUCCAGGAACCUCUGUGUGAUCAGCUGUCCAGAUGUUCCCUGCACCUUGUUCUUCGGGGCAUUUGUUACAUCAGUAUGAUGGAUGAACUAAUUACUUGGCCAACUCUCCUUUAGCUGCUGUCCCCUGGAGGAAGGGCAUGGAGCC
rnacentral:lncRNA from 1 species